CCCAUAGAGGGUGCCAGGCCCGUAUAACGUUAAUGAUUACUAGAAGAUAUUUCCAAAGAGUCGUGUUGCUUGAUAGUGCAGCACUAAGUGGGUGGUAAACUCCAUCUAAAACUAAAUAUAACCAUGAGACCGAUAGCAAACAAGUACCGUGAGGGAAAGUUGAAAAGAACUCUGAAUAGAGAGUUAAAUAGUACGUGAAACUGCUUAGAGGUUAAGCCCGAUGAACCUGAAUAUCCAUUAUGGAAAAUUCAUCAUUAUAAUUGUAAUAUUUAUAAUAUUAUAAGAAUAGUGUGCAUUUUUUCCAUAUAAGGACAUUGUAAUCUAUUAAAUAAUAAAAAUUUAUUAAAAGAUCAUUUGCUUAAGUUUAUUCAAAUUAUUAUGCUUGCAUUUUAACAUUGGAUAAAUGCUUAUGAUUUAAUAAAGAUUUGAUAGAUUUAUUAUAUAUGAUGUUAAAAUUAAUAAUAAUUUUACAAUGGUAUAUGAAUCAUGAUUUAUAUAUUUAUUGUAUGCAUCUAUAUGAUUAACAAUGCGAAAGAUUCAGGAUACCUUCGGGACCCGUCUUGAAACACGGACCAAGGAGUCUAACAUAUGUGCAAGUAAUUGAGAUUUGAAAACUUAAUUGCGAAAUUAACAUAACUUGUUAAUGGGAUUAAUUUUUAUAGAAAU
rnacentral:rRNA from 1 species